rnacentral:rRNA from 2 species
GGGUUGUGAGGUUAAGCGACUAAGCGUACACGGUGGAUGCCCUGGCAGUCAGAGGCGAUGAAGGGCGUGCUAAUCUGCGAUAAGCGCCGGUAAGGUGAUAUGAACCGUUAUAACCGGCGAUACCCGAAUGGGGAAACCCAGUGUGAUUCGUCACACUAUCAUUAACUGAAUCCAUAGGUUAAUGAGGCGAACCGGGGGAACUGAAACAUCUAAGUACCCCGAGGAAAAGAAAUCAACCGAGAUUCCCCCAGUAGCGGCGAGCGAACGGGGAGGAGCCCAGAGCCUGAAUCAGCAUGUGUGUUAGUGGAAGCGUCUGGAAAGGUGCGCGAUACAGGGUGACAGCCCCGUACACAAAAGCGCAUGUGCUGUGAGCUCGAUGAGUAGGGCGGGACACGUGGUAUCCUGUCUGAAUAUGGGGGGACCAUCCUCCAAGGCUAAAUACUCCUGACUGACCGAUAGUGAACCAGUACCGUGAGGGAAAGGCGAAAAGAACCCCGGCGAGGGGAGUGAAAAAGAACCUGAAACCGUGUACGUACAAGCAGUGGGAGCACAGGUUUACCUGUGUGACUGCGUACCUUUUGUAUAAUGGGUCAGCGACUUAUAUUCUGUAGCAAGGUUAACCGAAUAGGGGAGCCGGAGGGAAACCGAGUCUUAAUUGGGCGUUAAGUUGCAGGGUAUAGACCCGAAACCCGGUGAUCUAGCCAUGGGCAGGUUGAAGGUUGGGUAACACUAACUGGAGGACCGAACCGACUAAUGUUGAAAAAUUAGCGGAUGACCUGUGGCUGGGGGUGAAAGGCCAAUCAAACCGGGAGAUAGCUGGUUCUCCCCGAAAGCUAUUUAGGUAGCGCCUCGUGAAUUCAUCUCCGGGGGUAGAGCACUGUUUCGGCUAGGGGGCCAUCCCGGCUUACCAACCCGAUGCAAACUGCGAAUACCGGAGAAUGUUAUCACGGGAGACACACGGCGGGUGCUAACGUCCGUCGUGAAGAGGGAAACAACCCAGACCGCCAGCUAAGGUCCCAAAGUCAUGGUUAAGUGGGAAACGAUGUGGGAAGGCCCAGACAGCCAGGAUGUUGGCUUAGAAGCAGCCAUCAUUUAAAGAAAGCGUAAUAGCUCACUGGUCGAGUCGGCCUGCGCGGAAGAUGUAACGGGGCUAAACCAUGCACCGAAGCUGCGGCAGCGA